CGUGGCUUCCGGCGUUUGGCGGGGUCUUUGUCUCUCGCUGGCGCUGGCACAGGAGCUUGGGAUCCGUCUCCUCUUUCGUCUCCUCCACCUUGGGAGCCCCGGGCUACUCUCUCACAGCCCCUGUUGCCCUGCGACCUGUAGGUCCUUGGGGGCGCAUAGUUAAGGUGCCAGGACAUCCUGGAAGCUGGGAAAUGGUGAGUAUGCGGGGUUCGGCAUCCUGAGAGGGGAGAGCAGCCUGCGAAACCGGCAGGACCGGCCUCCCCACGGUUAGCUCCCAGUCUCCCGCAGCUUGGCCCUCAAUCCCCUGUGGCCGCAAGAUGGCCGCUGGGCCAGCAGCGAGGACCCCCACGUCCGGCCCGGCCCAUCCGGUCCUGUCCCUGGGCAGCGCCCUGCUCUGCGCCCACAGCCAUGAGUAUUUCCCAGAUUGUUCAGGGAUGCCAGGUGGGUCAUCAGGGAAAAACCGAGACUGGGUGUUUGCGUGGGAGGAGCUGCGGCCCGUGGCGUCCACAGUCUCUCUUGUUAAAAAUUAACGGGAGUCUAUGUUAAAACGUUAACCAGUUUAUCUGAACAAACAGUGACUGGUGAAAUGGAAAGCACCCAGCCAUGAUUUGUGGUCCAACCGAGGGGCAUAAAGGAAAGGCUUUUAUAAGAUGCAUGAGAAAGCAACCCAAAUUCAUAAAUUGUUUCCGGUUAUGUAGUCGCCUUAUUUGAACUAUCCAGAUGGAAAUUUCCUAGUUACAUAUUCAGAGGUUAAUUGCAUGUUUGUCAUUGGUUAAACCCGCAUUUUGUUUCAGGCUAAGAUAAUGGUUUAUAGGAAAUGUAUUUGAGUUAGGUUUUAGAUUUUUUUUUUUUAACCUAUGAACACAGGGCACUAGAGCCACUUUAGUCUAGUUUUCUGCUCUUUAAUUAUUUGAACACUCCAGAAGAGGACUGGUUUUCUCCUGUUUUUUUAAUGUAUGGCAAAUGGAACCUCUAAUCGACCAACCUGUUUUUCAGCCUAACUCAGACUUGCAGUAAAAUUCUAAGGUCCCAUUUUCUUUGCUGCAUUCUCAAAUGCAACACAUGAGACCAGCUUUCCCUUGCCAAUUUACAAUGCUAUUAACUAUUUGUCCUUUACUAUACAUUUAAUUAAAGUUUUCUGUUAUUGGAUUUCUUUCUACUUCUCCCUACAGUUCUGGCAAUAUUUGCUUUUUAUAUUUAGAAGCCUCCCUUUUGGGCACAUAAAUAUAUAUAGCUAUAUUCUCUUGACAAAUUAACGUCUAUUAUUACAGUAUGGUAAACUCAUUUCAUGCUUGUGAGAGACAUUGCUAGAAAGUCUAUUUUGUCUAAUUUAAGCAUAACUACCAUUGCAUUCCUUUGAUUAUUAUUUGCAUGGAAUAUCAUUUUCUAUCCUUUCACUUUUAGCCUAUGCUCUUAAUUCAUAAUUGAGUCUCCUGUAAGCAGCAUAUUACCAGGUUUAAAAGAUUCAUUUAUCUACUCUGUCUGCUUUAGUGUCUUUUGGCUGCUAUAACAGAAUAUCACAGACUGGUAAUAAAGAAUGGAAUUUUGUUUGACUCAUAAUUCUGGAGGCUGGGAAGGCAAAACAACAUGAUACUGGUAUUUGUUGAAGGUCUAGUUGCUGGAUAAUAACUUGGCCAAAGAUGUGAGGGAGAGAGAGCUUUUUUUAAAAUGCAUAACAGAUCCAUUCUUGUUAUAAUUAACCCAUUCCCAUAAUAACAACAUUAGUCCAUUCAUGAGGGCAGAGUUCUUAUAGCUUAAUUAAUUUUUAAAGGUUCCACCUCUUAAUUCUAACACAUUGGCUAUUAAAUUUUAUCCUAAAUUUUGGAGAUGACAUUCAGUCUACAGCAGUAUCUGUUUAGUAGAUAAUUUAAUCUUCUUAUUUGUAAGGUAGUGAUUGGUAAGCAGUUACCAUUGUAAAUUUGUAGUUUUCUGUCCAUUUUGAAUUUGCUUCUUUUUUUUCUGGUUCUGUCUUUCCUGUGGUAUUGUUAAUUUUUGUUGAGACAAAGUUAUACUUUCUUGCUCAGACUGAAGUGCAGUUGCAUAUCACAGCUCACUGUAGCCUCAACCUCCUGGGAUCAAGCAAUCCUCCCAACUUAGCCGCCCAAGUAGCUUGGACUACAGACACACACCACAACACCCAAGGAGCUUAUGAUUCUUCCACCUUGGCCUCCCAAAGUGUUGGAAUUAUAAGCAGAAGCCACCAUAUCCAAUGUGUAAUUUUUGUUGUUUGUAUAUGCUUUAAUUACUUUCUCUCUUUCUGUUACAAUUUUUUUCCUAGUGGUUAUCAUGAGACUUAUAUAAAACAUCUUGUAUUUUAAUAGUCUGGUUUAAGAUGAUAACAGUUUAGAGUAUUCUGAAUUUUGGUAUGUAUUUAGCAUUUUUAGUGACAUUUAUACUUUAGUAUUUUUCAUAUUGGUAGUUAGCAUUUCAUCUUAUCAAUGUGAAGAUUUCUUCUAGACCAUGGCUGGAGAAGUAAAGAAAGUGGGUUUUGCCUGAUUCAGGGACUAUAGAGAGAACCAAGUUCUGCAGGCCUGUCACCUGUCUCAGGUGAGUAUGAAUUCUCUUGUGUUUUUGACAGAUAGUUGCAGUGGCAGGACCAAAGUCAAAUGAGUUAUAGGCAAGUCUACAGUAAGAUGUGGCAGUAUUCUGUUUUGAAGCCGGGACCAUGAUUGGCAAGCUUGCCACUUGGUCAAGUGCUUACCCUCUGAAGAUGUCUUCCUUGGUCUUUGCCUCCAGCUGGGUGUCACAAACUCUGAACUGGAUUCCAAGGCUUACAUGAAUGCACUUAUGUUUGCUGUGGCAGCUGCAUUAUGUUGUGAGGGAUGUGCAUGCAGAACCACCCAUUCUGUCGUCUUGCUUAUGUUACUCUCGUUUAUAUUUCACUUUCUGAAAUGAAUGUAAAGCUGGUGAUUUUUAGAUUCAAAAAUUCUAAAAUAAAUUGCUGAAAUUUACACAUUAUGUAAGCUAUUAAUAAAAUUUCUUGUAGGUGAAACAUAUUUAUUAAAAUUUUUGUGUGUAAUUUCAAGCUUACUGCAGGCAGAAAGGAAUCAUUAACAUUUAUAUUCUUUUUUUAGUCUGUAUCUAAAUGAUGGUAUUUUUAAUUCCAGAUAUUUACUUUAUACUUCAGUAAUGCUCAGCGUAUUUUGCAAAAUUUUUGUUGUUCUUUUAUUUCGAAACAUAAGGCUUUUUUAGCUCCUGAAAACUAUAUUAUAGUCAUAGAGUUUUAUUAUAUUUUGUGGUAAGAAGAGCAGAAACAUAUUGAGGACAUAAUUAAAUUCUCCUAUCUUUUUAAUGAUUAUUAAUUAAAUUCUUCUAAUUAGAGCCUGUUAUUAAUGAUUGUAAUGUAUUUUCUGUAUAAUUUUACUGCAAUUUAUUAAUUUCCAAUGACUUAGAAUGUCUGCUUUUCAUGAGUGCAUGCAGUUGAAUGAUGUAGAUAUCUAAAGGGUAAUUUUUUGGCCGGGUGUGGUCACUCAUGCCUGUAUUCCCAGCACUUUCGGAGGCCGAGGUGGGUGGAUCACGGGGUCAGGAAAUCAAGACCGUCCUGACUAAUAUGGUGAAACCCCGUCUCUACUAAAUAUACAAAAAAUUAGCUGGGCACAGUGGCGGGCGCCUGUAUUCCCAGCUACUCGGGAUGCUGAGGCAGGAGAAUGGCAUGAAUCCAGUGGGCAGAGCCGAGAUCACGCCACUGCACUCCAGCCUGGGCGACAGAGCAAGACUCUGUCUCAAAAAAAAAAAAAGUUAUUUUUCAUUGUAAAUCCAUGUUUUUUUCAGGAUUUUAUGCAUUAAAAUCUCUCUUCUUAUUUUCAAUUGCGUGUUAUUGCGUUUCUUUUCUUGGGUAUGUUUUCUCAGAUCAGUUAAUUGUAUUUUUGCUUUUAAAGCUUGAUAUCAUGAGUUGAAUGAUAAUUUUUAGCUCGAUACACUUUAUCUCAAUGUGAUGUUUAAUAUAUGUGUGAAUUAGCUGUGUUUGUUGGUUAUAGAUAUAUCUGUGAGGUUUUCACCUAUGUAAGUCUGACAUCUUUUUUGUUUGUUUGUUUGUUUGUUUUUUAGUUUCAGAUAGGCUUUUUUUUUAAAAGAGAAUUUUAAAACAGAGUAAAAAGAGCAGAAAUCAGUUAUUUGUCCUCUUGCAGGGUGGGGAGAUAACUUCCUUCCCCACAGGUUUGAGGCUAUGGCUAAGUGGUGAGUCUUGGGGAGAUGCAGAAAUGAUCCAUCCCAGGCACUUGGCUGGACUUAAGUAAGCACAGCCUUUGGGCCACAAGACCUGAUGGCUUCGGUACUGGUCUGGACAUAAGUCCCCAUCUACCCAGAAAUGUAGUCUUUUGUCUGCAACAACUGGCUGGAGAAAUAUUUCAGAAAGAUGUGUGUCUGGAACACCCAAAGGCAUACCUUUCCUUUCUCCUUGGCAUAGGCCUUGCUGCACUGAGGAAACACCAGGUUUGCAAUGGAGCCUUCAAGAGUCUUCAUCCCUAUGGAGCUCAGGGGCUCAUAGGGUGACAGGAGAGGAGACAAGCUAACUUGGGAAGUAUUCAUCCUUCAGCUUCUCCCCCACUGAAACACUAUAUAUUAGGGCCACAGUUCAUGGCAAAACAUACAUGCUCUCUUUCUUUCUCUCACACCUACAUCUCGGGAACCCAACAACUUGAUGGCAGGUAGCUCUGGGUAUCCUUGGUCUGGCAUUCACCCACUGGGCAUCUAAGCUGUGCUAAAGCUCUUUUCAAUCAUUUCUUACUCUUUCCAGGCCCAUGUGGGUAGGUGUUCCAGCCUUCACUCUUUCAGGCUGAUCAUAAAGGCACAGUGUGGGAAAAUCCCCUACUGUGAUGGCCAUUGCUGGGAAGCAGGGAAGGCUAAGGGCCCACUGCUGCCCAAGGCUAGUGUAGACACCAUCUGCUCCAGUCGUCUCCUCAAAGAUUGAUAUCAGGUGCAGCAGCUGCUGUCUGGAAUGUUAUCAAACCAGGCCUGCACAGGCACUGAAUUCUCUGUGUGGAAGAUGUAAGAAGCAGGCGAGUUGUCCAGGAUGACAGUUUUCCUCAGGUCCGUCCCCAGAUGGCUAAGGUCCUUGACAUAGCAGCCCUGGUGGAACAAACAUGACUCAUGGGCUAGGCCACCCCAGAACACCCCACACUGGUCCAGCACACCCAUCACAGUGUGUUCGGAACUGGUAGUUUCUUAUUCUCACUGACUUCAAGAAUGAAGCUGCAGACCCUCAUGGUGAGUGUUACAGUUCUUAAAGGCGGCAUGUUCGGAGUUUGUUCCUUCUGACAUUCGGAUGUGUUCAAAGUUUCUUCCUUCUGAUGGGUUCGUGGUCUUGCUGGCUCAGGAAUGAAGUUGCAGAUGUUCGUGGUGAGUGUUACAGCCCUUAAGGCGGCACGUCUGGAGUUGUUCUUUCCUCCCAGUUGGUUUGUGGUCUCGCUGGCUUCAGGAGUGAAGUCGCAGACCUUCACGGUGAGUGUUACAGCUCAUAAAGGCAUUGUGGACCCAAAGAAUGAGCAGCAGCAAGAUUUAUUGCAAAGAGCAAAAGAACAAAGCUUCCAUAGUGUGGAAGGGGACCCGAGUGGGUUGCCACUGCUGGCUCGGGCAGCCUGCUUUUUUUCACUUAUCUGGCCCCACCCACAUCCUGCUGAUUGGUAGAGCCAAGUGGUCUGUUUUGGCAGGGCUCUGAUUGGUGCGUUUACAAUCCCUGAGCUAGAAACAAAGGUUCUCCUUGUCCCCACCAGAAUACCUAGAUACAGAGUGUCAAUUGGUGCAUUUACAAACCCUGAGCUAGAUACUCAGUGCUGAUUGCUGUAUUUACAAUCCCUUAGCUAGACAUAAAGGUUCUCCACAUCCCCACCAGACUCAGGAGCCUAGCUGGCUUCACCCAGUGGAUCCUGCACCGGAUCUGCAGGUGGAGCUGUCUGCCAGUCCUGCGCCGUGCGCUCGCACUCCUCAGCCCUUGGGUGGUUGAUGGGAUUGGGUGCCGUGGAGGAAGUGGUGGUGCUCGUUGUGGAGUCUCCGGUCACACAGGAGCCGAUGGAGUGGGGGAGGUUCAGGCAUGGCAGGCUGCAGGUCCAGAGCCCUGCCCCGUGGGAAGGCAACUAAGGCCCAGUGAGAAAUUGAGCACACCAACUGCUGGCCCAGGUUCUAAGCCCCUCACUGCCCAGGGCCGGUGGGGCAGGCCGGCCACACCGAGCGCGGGGUCCAACGAGCCCACGCCCACCCGGAACUCGCGCUGGCCCGCAAGCACGGUGCGCAGCUCCAGUUCCCGCCCGCACCUCUCCGUCUACAACUCCUCGCAAGCUGAGGGAACCAGCUCUGGCCUUGGCCAGCCCAGAAAGGGGUUCCCACACUGCAGCGGCGUGCUGAAGGGCUCCUCAAGUGCCGCCAAAGUGGGAGCCCUGGCAGAGGAGGCCCCGAGAGCGAGUGAGGGCUGUGAGGACUGCCAGCACAAUGUCACCUCUCAACAGGAUCUGCAUACUUGUUCAGGCUGGAAUGAAGACAGCAAUGAAAAAAACACAUUUAAGAAGUUGCUCCUGUCAUCUCAGGAUCUUAUCCAUAUAAGGCCUCAUGAGCAAAUGGAUCUGGUGUCUGAUCCCCUCAAUCUCUACAGGCAUUAGGCAGUCAGCAUUGCUGAAUGCCUUCAAGGAGCUAUGAACAAGGGUUUCAUCCAGGUCAGUGCUCACACAGAUCCUUCCUUGAUUUUUCUCUGUCACCUCUGGGAGCAGGCAGGUUCCUGGGAUCUGAUAAAACUGAUAAUGGAGACUCUGGAGCUCAUCCGACUUAGCAAUGGUGUUGACUUCCUAAUUAUGUGUGAAGAGCUUAGCAGGGGAACGUGACUGGCCAACAUGCUGGGUGCAAGAAGAGCAGAAAGGGGCCUUCUAAGGUGUGACAAACAUGAGACCUCUUCGGAGAGCACUUUGGAAACCAGGACUUGCUUGGUAAGGACCAGGGCGUCUUCCCUCCAUGCCUGGGUGAUGAUGGAGCCUUGUUCCAUCUAACAAUCCUGAGGGCUGGGCAGGCUGUGGGGGAAACCUGGCUGGCACGCUGGCUGGACUGGGAUGGGGGGCAUGGGCUGGGGCCUGAUUCAGUUCCCGAGAGUCUGAGUUCCACAGCUGUUCACAUUCCCCCUCUCCUUUCCAUCACUGGCCGGGAAGGGAGGCGGCCUGUAGGGACGGCGGACAGCCUUGGCAGCGGCUCCCCAGGAUGCCCCCAGCCCUUAUUCUCCCAGCGGGAGCUUCAGGAUCCUCAGUUUGUUUCUAACAUAGAGAAUCCACCAGAUAUGCAUUUUUUUUUCAACUUUUAUUUUAAGUUCACGGGUCCAUAUGUUAUAAACUUUUUUUCAACUUUUAUUUUAAGUUUAGGGGUCCAUGUGCAGGAUAUGCAGGUCUGUUACAUAUAUAAACGUAUGCCAUUGUGCUUUACUGCACAGAUCAUCUCAUCACCCAGGUACUAAGGCCAGCAUCCGCAGCUAUUCUUCCUGAUGCUCUCCUUCCCCUCCCUCAUGCCAUGAAACAGGUGUCCAGUGCGUGUUGUUCUUCCUAGUGUGUCCAUGUGUUCUAAUUGAUCUGCUUCCGCUAAUAAGUUAGAAUAAUAAUAGGUGGUGUUUGGUUUUCAGUUCCUGCAUUAGUUUGCUGGGUUUAAUGGCUUCACACUCCAACCAUGUCCCUGCAAGGGACAUGAUCUCAUUACAUUUUAUGGCUUUAUAGUGUUCCAUGGUGUAGGUGUACCACAUUUUCUUUAUCCAGUCUAUCAUUGAUGGGCAUGUAGAUUGAUUACAUGACGUUGCUAUUGUAAAUAGUGCUGCAAUGAACAUAUGCAUGCAUGUAUAUUUAAAAUAGAUUUCUAUUCCUUUGGGUGUAUACCCAGUAAUAGUAUUGCCGGGUCAAACGGUAUUUCUGCUUCUAGGUCUUUGAGGAGUCUCCACACUCUCUUCCACAAUGCUUGAAAUAAUUUACACUCUCACCAACAGUGUAAAAGUGUUCCCUUUUCUCCACCACCUCACCAGCAUCUGUUUUUAUUUUUUUUUUACUUUUUAUUAAUAGCCAUUGUAAUUGGUGUGAUAUGGUAUCUCAUUGUUGUUUUGAUGUGUAUUUAUCCAGUUAUCUGUGACGUUGAGCUUUUCAUGUUUGUUGGGCACAUGUAUGUCUUCUUUUGAGAUAUGUCUGUUCAUGUCCUUUGACCACUUUUUAAUGGGGUUGUUUGUUUUUCUCUUGUAAAUUUCAAGUCCCUCGUAGAUUCUGGGUAUUGGACGUUUGUCAGAUGGAUAGGUUGCAAAAUUUUUCUCCCAUUCUCUAGGUUCUCUGCUCUAAUGAUAGUUUCUUUGGGUCUGCAGAAGCUGUUAAUUUAAUUAGACCCCAUUAGUCAAUUUUUGUUUUUGUUGCUAUUGCUUUUUGCCUUUUUGUCAUCAAAUCUUUCCUCCUGCCUAUAUCUUGAAUGCUAUUAUCUAUAUUUUUUCUUCUAAGGUUUUUAUAGUUUUAGGUUGUACAUUUAAGUCUUUAAUCCAUAUUGAGUUAAUUUUUGUCUAUGGUGUUAGGAAGGGUUCCAGUUUUAAUUUUCUGCAUAUGACUAGUCAGUUCUCCUUGCACAAUUUAUUGAAUAGGGAGAUCUUUCCCUAAUUCCUUGUUUUUGUUGACUUUGUCAAAGAUCAUGUUGUUGUAGGUUUUUGGCUGUAUUUCUAGGCUCCCUAUUUUGUUUCAUUUGUCUAUGUUUCUGUUUCUAUACCAGUACCAUGCUGCUUUGAUUACUGUACCAGUAUAGUUUGAAGUUAGGCAGUGACGCUUUCAGCUUUUUUUUUUUUUUUUUCUUAAGGUUGGCUUGGCUAUUUGGGCUCUUUUUUUGUUCCAUAUGAAUUUUUAAAGUUUUUUUUUUUUCUAAUUCUCUGAAGAAUGUCAGUAGUUCAAUGGGAAUAGCAUUGAAUCUAUAAAUUACUUAGGGCAAUAUGCUCAUAUUCAUGAUACUGAUUCUUCCUCUCCAUGAGCAUGAAAUGUUUCUACUUUUGUUUUGUGUCCACUCUGAUUUCUGUAAGCAGUUGUUUGUAGUUCUCCUUGAAGAGGUCCUUCACUUUUCUUCUUAGCUGUAUUCCUAGGUAUUUUUUUUCUCUUUGUAGCAAAUGUGAAUGAAAGUUCAUUCAUUAUUUGUCUCUCUGCUUGCCUGUUGUUUGUGUACGGGAAUGCUAGCUACUUUUGCACAUUGAUUUUAUACCCUGAGAUUUUGCUACUGUUGCUUAUCACCUUAAGAAGCUUUGGGGCUAAGAAGAUAAGGCUUUCUAGAUAUAGGAUCAGGUCAUCUACAAACAAAGAUAAUUUGACUUCCUCUCUUUCUAUUAGAAUACUCUUUAUUUCUUCCUCUGUCCUGAUUUUCCUGGCCAAGGUUUCUGAUACUGUGUCGAAUAGGAGUGGUGAGAGAAGACAUAAUUUUCUUGUGCCAGUUUUCAGGGGGAGUGUUUCCAGCUUUUGCACAUUCAGUAUGAUAUUGUCUGUGGGUUUGUUGUAUAUGGCGCUUAUUAUUUUGAGGUAUGUUUCCUCAGUUCCUAGUUUAUUGAGAAUUUUAAAUGUGAAGGAAUGUUGAAUUUUAUUGCAUACUUUUUCUGCAUCUAUUGAGAUAAUCAUGUGGUUUUUGUAUUUACUUCUCUUCAUGUGACGAGUCACAUUUAUUGAUUUGCAUAUGUUGAACCAACCUUGCAUCCUGGGGACCAAGCCAAUUCCGUUGUGGUGGAUGCACUUUUUAAUGUGCUGCUGGAUUUGGUUUGCCAGUAUUUUAUUGAGAAUUUUUGCACGGUGUUCAUCAAAGACGUUAGCAUGAUGUUUUGUUGUUGUUGUUUUUGUAUCUAUAUUAGGUUUUGGUAUCAGGAUGAUGCUGGCCUGGUAGAAUGAGUUAGAAAGAACAUCUUUGUUUUCAAUUUUUUUGGGGUAGUUUUAGGAGAAAAUGUACCCUCUCCCCUUGUACUUCUGGUCAAAUUCAGCUUGCUUGGUAGGCUAGUUUUUACUGCCUCAAUUUCAGAACACAUUAUUGAUCUAUUCAGGUUUCAGUCUUGUGAAGGGUUUUUUUUUUGCAAUAAAUUGUCCAUUUCUUCUAGAUUUUCUGGUUUAUGUGCAUAGAGGUGUUUAUAGUGUUCUCUGAUGUUUGUUCUUAUUUCCAUGGGAUCAGGGAUGAUGUCUCCCUUAUUAUUUCUCACUGUGUUUGGUUCUUCUUUCUUUUCUUAUUUAUUUGUCUAGCUAGUGUUCCAUCUAGUUUAUUAAUUUUUUACAUAAAACAGCUCCUGGAUUGGUUGAGUUUUUUUUUUUUUUUUUGGAAGAGUUUUCAGUGUCUCUAUGUCCUUCAGCUCUAUUCUGAUCUUGGUUAUUUCUUGUUUUCUGCUAGCUUUCAGGUUCUUUUUCACUUGGUUUCCUUGUUCUUUUAAUCAAGAUGUUAGUCUGUUAACUUUAGAUCUGUCUAGGAAUUUUUUUUUUUUUUUUCUUGUGGGAGAGUCUCACUCUGUUGCCCAGGCUGGAGUACAGUGGCAUGAUCUCGGCUCACUGCAACCUCCGCUUUUCAGUUUUAAGUCAUUUCUGCUGUCUCAGCCUCCUGAGUAGCUGGGAUUACAGAUGUGCAUCACCACACUCAGUUAAUUUUUGUAUUUUUUUGUAGAGAUGGGGUUUUGCUAUGUUGGCCAGGCAGGUCUUGAACACCUGGCCUCCAGUGAUCUGUCUGCCCCAGCCUCCCAAAGUGCUGGAAUUACAGGCAUGAGGUACUAUGCCCAACCCUUUCUAGCUUUUUGAUGUGGACAUUAGUGCUAUAAAUUUCCCUUUUUUCUUGGUUUCUAGUGAUUAUUUUAUUCCAUCUUGGUGAGUAGUCAGGGAAAUAAUCGUAAAUUCACAAUCAACUUAUAGUUAAAUCUAAACAAUUAUGUGAGGAGAACCCUUUAUUAUUUGAAGGGGAUGUUUGAAGAUUUUGUAACUGUGCCUUUUAGGUAGUCUUAAGUUUCUAAUUGUCGUUAAAAACAUGCCAUUGUCAUUUCUAACAUUUUAAGUAUAUGGUUUAGAAGUCGUAAGAAUAGUUCUAUUGUUUUGCAAUAGGUUUUAGAUAAUUUUUGUCUUACAAAAGUAAAAGUGAAUACUCAUUACUUGUGAAAGAAGUUAGUUAGCUUGCUUUAGGUAGGUAGCAACAGAAGGGUCCCUGGAAAGUCCCUGGACCUUGGGUCAGUGUCUCAUCCCUGCAUAAUAUAAAAUGAAUCCUGGAAAAAAUCAAGCUGCAGACACCAACAAGGGAACUAGCACUUGGUGUUGUGCUUGGAGACCUGCCCACGGCUGCACAGAUAGAAAAACCUCCGGCCCAUUUGGAUAGAAACUUGUACAAACCUCCAGCCCACUUAGUUAAGGGAACAAGACCGAACUGGAAUAGAAAUGCCGUUGUUUGUCCAGGCACGGUGGCUCAUGCCUGUACUCUCAGCAAUUUGGGAGGCAGAGGAGGGCGGAUCACCUGAGGUCGGGAGUUCGAGACCAGCAUGACCAACAUGGAGAAACUCCGUCUCUACUAAGAAUACAAAAUUACCCGGGCAUGCUGUCGCAUGCCUCUAAUCCUAGCUACUUGGGAGGCUAAGGCAGGAGAAUCGCUUGAACCCAGGUGGCAGAGGUUGCUGGGAGCCGAGAUCGCACCAUUGCACACCAGCCUGGGCAACAAGAGCAAAACUACAUCUCAAAAUAAAUAAGUAAAUAAAUAAAUAAAUAGAAGAAAGUACAUCUCAAAAAAAAAAAAAUGAAAGAAAGAAAGAACAGAGAAAGAAAAAAAGAAACGCCUUUGCCCUUUGUACAGUCAGUGGACUCCCAGGAAAAAGUUUCUUCUCCUUUUGUGGGCAUAAGCACAGUGGGCUCUGGUGCAUUCCGGUCGAUACUCUCCUUUAUUUGAACUGUAAGUCUGAUCUCUAUGAAUAAUUACUUCAGCCCGUAAUUGCUCCCUGGCCAAGCUGCUUGGCCAAGAUUUCACCUUAUCUUCUGAUAAGUCCUGGGCCAAGCUAAGUAGCAUCUAUGAAUCAUCCCUUCAGCUCCUGAUUGGUACCGGGCCAAAGUCAUGGGUCAAGCUAAGCCACACGUUUUUCAAGACGGCCUGUGAACUAUGCACAUUCCCUUCCCUUCCCUUCCCAGUCCAUAAAAACCCUGGACCCCAGCCUCAUAGAGGGCACCCCGUUCAGACACCUAUCUCUGCUGGCAAAGAGCUUUUUUUUCUUGCUUAUCAAACUUUCACUCCAACCUCACCUUUGUGUUCAGGCUCCUUAAUCUCCUUAGAGGUAGAAAAAAGAACUCUGGGUGUGAUCUCAGACUACGAGAUACUGUUACAUCUUAGUGCACUGCUGAGACUACAACACUUGGUUUCUAUGAGUUUGACUGACUAAAUAUUUUAUGUAAGUGUAAUUAUACGGUUUUCCUUUUUGACUGUCUUGUUUUACUUUACCGAAUGUUUUCAAGAUUUGUCCUUAUUGUAGUACUUUUCAAGAUUUCCUUAUUUUUAAGGCUGAAUGCUAUCCCAGUGAAUAUACCUGCCCUGUUUGUUGAAUCUACUCAUCCUUAAAGGGACAGGAUCUUGCUCUAACACCCAGACUGGAGUGCAGUGGUGCAAUCCUAGCUCAAUGGAAGAGAGACUAUCCCUGUCUUUACACCUGGUAGUAUUUCCAAGAGAAAGCUGUGAGAUUCUGCUUCAAAUCACCUCUCAAACAAAUAAAAAACAGACUUGGGAAAGGUACUACACUCAUUCUGCUGAAGAAAUUGAGCAAGAAUGAUUUCUAAGACCCCGAACUCCAGAUAUGCGAUGGGGCAAAUCCUGAAGUGUACAUGGAUAUCUCUCACAGCUAAAGCAUCCCUCACCCCUAUCCAGCGCUUCUUACUCCUGCCACAAGAGAAUCACCUGCGGGGAGGAAAACUUUCAAAAUCCCUAAAAUCGAAGUUGUAACCGAUCAAUUAAAUCAGAAUCCUUGGAGUUGGGUCUGCAAAAAAUACGGUUUAAAGCUGUGCAGGUGAUUACAAUAUGUAGGCAAGCCACAAAAUCGUGGCUUUAACCAGCAGCUUUUGUUAGAAAUGAUUUCUCAAAUGAAUGUAAAAACGUUUGCUGCUGAAUUGUGACCUUCCAAUUUUACUUGCUUUUCCUACAAUGUAUAUUUUGCAGACCCAGGCUUGCUUCUCGUCCUGUUCCUGAUUCACCCAGUGCCCUGUGUAUUCAGUGCAUCCUGUGCACGGGUCACUGUGCUGUGUACCCUGGCCUGGGUGAGCAUCAUUCUUCGGGGAGAACCUUUCUGAAAACAAAGCUGCAUUUCAAAAAAUUAAAACCAUGCUACUUACUGUAUUGAGGUGAAAAUUAAAAGACCUAAGGGACUCAUCCAAAAUUUAAAACAUAAAUAAAUAACUUGGAACAUUAAUAUACACCUGAUGAUGUCCUGAGUGAACAUGCCCCACUUUAAAACAAAACAAAACAUUACUAUUAUUCUAAAAUAUUAAUUUAGGAUUGUUAUGAAAAUAUGUACUAUUUAAAUUUUUAUUGGUGUAUAACAUGCAUACAGCAAUAUAGGAACAAAACAUUUAUGGAAUGCUUGAUGAAUUAUUACAAAAUAAAUACACUUGUGUAUCUAAGAAUCAGAUUUGUUCAUGCCCUUGACACUUUCUCCUUUCCAAAGGUAACCAAGAUCUUAAGAGCUAAGUGCAGAUAAACUUUGUCAUUUUCUACAAGUGUUUUAUUACACAUCAUUAAAAAUGUAUACGCAAUACAAAAAAAGUAUAACAGACCAGUCACCAAGCUUUAACAGCUACUAGUCAUGUGUCAUUUUUGUUUCACCUAUACUUCCAGCCAUUCCCACUCCAAUUUCAUUAUUUUUUAGGCUUUUUGGAUAAAAUAUAUAUUCAUUGCAAGGCACAAUGUGAACUGUAAAUAGUAGAGAGAUGGGGUUUCACCAUGUUGGCCAGGCUAGGCUUGAACUCCUCACCUCAGGUGAUCCACCCCCUUCAGCUUCCCAAAGUGCUGGGAUUACAGGCAUGAGCCGAUAUACUCGGCCUGAGAAUUCAUAUUUCUAACAAAGUACAAAUCCAUAGGGCGCACAUGACCACUGCAAUGUCUGUCUACAGUAAAUACAGUUUGAUGAAUAAAAUGAAAGGCAAUUGACCUAAGGUGAAAAAAAAACACAAAAAACAAUCAAACCAUGGGUAGUAUGUGCUAUCUGUAAGAACAUUUGGUUAAGAAUAACAAACCAGUUUUAUCAUUUUAAUAACAAAAAUUGACAAAAUUUCUAGUUUUUCUUUCAUAGAAAUGCUCUUUGCAAGAAAAAAUUUUCAUAUAGUGAGAGCAAAAAUGACAACCAUUUGCAAGUAAAUGUCUUAUGAAAUUAAGUAGCAGAUAUCAUCAACCUCAAUACCUUCAGAUAGUUACCCCUAACUCAAUCAUUUACAUACCAAGUGCAGAUAAUUUUCAUAGUUUCCUAUUAAAAUUAUAUUUUAAUGCCUUACAAAUUGUGACUGUUUUUAAAGUUCACCAACUAAAAUUUUGUAUAUGACAUAUGAUAAAUUCCACUUCAAGUCACCUUACAUUUACUUAAUUUUAUUAGGCAGUGUCUGUCUACCACCCAGUAAUACGUGGGGAUUCUCCCUCCAUUUGCACAGACAUCAUAGCUGGGGAACAGGGAUUCACAAGACCCAGGCUGUUCCCUACAUAUUUUUCCUCCUCAGACAUCAGUUCAUCAGUCAAUCAAGUCAUGUGAGAGUGGAGGCCAUGUAUUCCAUAUUCUUGGGCACUCUCCUCCAAGGAGGAAAAGGCCAGGAGGUCCUAUUAGAGGAUGCACUCUGAGAGGCUGGGCUCCUAAGGUGUGAGAGUUCUAACCAGCAGGUGUAGACUUUUCAGGAGUGAGGAAUGAGGCAGGUAUUCCAAACCUGGAGCUUCAUCACCUUUUGUUUCAUCUCAAGACAAUUCUGAGGCGCUGUUUUGGAACGUGUCUGGAAGGUGAACGUUGAAGAAGAGUGUGGGCUUUGAUGUGACUCAGAUGAGAUCUUUCUUAGGGAGGCAAGAAUUCAAUGCCCAGAAUCUGGGCAGGUGUCUUUGAGGUCAGUAGGUUGCCUCUUUGUAUCCAAGUCCAUUGCUACUAGGUUGGGGGCUGGGGAUUCUAAAUGGCUUCCAGACCGCCUCUCUGAUUCUCUUUUGGAGAUGGGGUCUGAAAAAGACAAUGUCAGUAUUUUUCGGAAAUUCUAGAAAGUCUGUUUGGAAACCUAGGAAGACCUCUUGCCUAGUGCCUAAAUGCUCCAUUUGCAGCUCUAGCCACGUAGAUGCUUGGUAGGUAUAGAGCUGGGUUUGCAUUUAUAUCAGCAAAACCUAUGUCAGAGUUGAAGAAGUAGUAAGGACAAAGUGUCUUGGUCGCAGGCCGGGAAACAUCUUAAAAGCAAACUUCUAGCCUGCUGACUCUUGGCAAUGAGUGUUGGGUCCUGGCCAAAGUGCCUUGAAUGCAGCAUGAGGCCAAUCCAUAAAUCCAACUUCUAAUGGAGAAUUAUUAAUCUUUUUUCAUUUUGAAUCAAUCAGGGUGAAAUUACCUUGCUAUUGGUUUGCUUACUUUUUAUUAUUUCAUAUAAAAUCUAAGACAAAAUACAUUAAAUGCUUACUGACAUAUGUAUUUACUCUUCACCUGGCUGAUAAUAUCUCCCUAAUUUUAAACUUUCUUCCAUUUUGUAGGUUUCAACUUAUUUUAUUGUAAGAUAGUAUUAAAUCUAAUAUAGGCAUUGUCACUUUUACAUAUAAUUUUAUUUUAUUUCAUAUAUUUCCUAUUGGCUUUUUACAUUUAAAUUAUGGACUGUUUCAUCAUAUAAAAAGCUUCAUUUAUAUUUAAACAAUAAGUCUUUGGAUUUUUUUGUCUUGUAAUUUCCAUAUUACAUAGUAAUGAGAUAAACAUUAAUGUUUACAGGAUAUUUUAAAUUUUAGGUAAUUACUCAUUUUAUCCAUGUGAAAUUUGUUUUUUACUGCAUGUGCGGGUUGGAGAACUGUUUUCACUUCUGAUUCAUCUUUAUUCUUAUGUCCUCAGAGCUCAUACCUCUUGUAGUUGGGGGAUUGCAGUUUAUAAUUCCAAUAAACGGGGCAAAUUUAAUAAUAACAUAAUACAAAUGAGUUUGAACGGAGGACAGGUCUUCAAAGCAUACACAACAUGGGCCUACAUAUGUACAACAAUAAUAAUUUAUAAGUUACAGUUUGAAUAGAAAGUAAAAGUACGAAAAAUUUGUUAAAGAAAAUUAAAAUGGAGAUCAUGUCUCAAUAAUCUCUGAGCAGACAAAAUUAGUUAGGUCUCAUAAAUGAUCUCAACCUUCCUUGAUUUGCAAAUAUAAGCAAAACUUAAAUUAUUUCUUGUAGCUGCCUAUUCAAAAAACAGAAAUGAAGGUCAACCAAUCCGGUGCAGCCAACGACCUUAUAUAAAUAGAAACUGUUCAACAAGGUAAACAGACAAACAAAAAACAAUUUAAAAAGUUGUGCUACCACCAAUCAAAUGAUUUCUUUGUUUCUACAUUUUUCCAAUAUAUACUUGCUUCUUACACUGUCAAUGAAUCACUGAAUAUCUUUCUGUCUGAUAUUUUAUAAUUUUUCAAUUGCUCUUACUCAAAUAAACACUUUACAAUUUCA